UCCAUUCCUUUCCUUCCGGGGGGUCGGGAAGCAAGCGUCUGCUAGUCAGCGCGCGGCUGGAAAGCAGAGUGCGUGAUUUAGUGAUGUCUUGCUUUUUUCAGGCUCUUUCCGAUAAGUACACAUUCAAGCAGGCAAGAGAAGGCAUUGAAGAGGAGCAGUUAACUCAAUGGGGACUAACAGGCAUUUGUCUACGUUCUUAUCAGCUAGAAGGUGUAAACUGGCUGACACACUGCUAUGGAAAACUGCACGGCUGCAUCCUGGGUGAUGAAAUGGGUCUCGGAAAGACUUGUCAGGCUAUUUCUCUGCUUGUUGUCUUAAGUGAGAAAUUUAAGAAAAGGCCUUUUUUGAUCCUUUGUCCUCUGUCUGUAUUGAAUAACUGGAAGGAAGAACUGGAAAGAUUUUCUCCAGGCCUUUCCUUGGUGACAUAUUCAGGAGACAAGGAAGAAAGGGCUGAACUACAGCAGGACUUGAAAUCAAAUAAUGACUUCCACAUCCUGCUGACUACCUAUGAGCUGUGCCUCAAAGAUGCAGCAUUUUUAAAACGUUUUAACUGGGCUUGUGUUGUUGUGGAUGAAGCUCACAGACUGAAGAAUCAGGAGUCAUUGCUUCAUAAAACACUCUCUGAGUUUUCAGCAGACUUCAGCCUCCUACUGACAGGCACUCCCAUUCAGAACAGUCUCCAAGAGUUAUUCGCGCUGCUUGCUUUUAUUGAACCAGACAUAUUCCCCAAGGAUCAAGUGGAAGAAUUUGUUCACUAUUACCAUGGAAUUGAAAAGGGAAGCAAAGCAGCCAGAGAGCUACACAGUCUCUUGCGGCCUUUUUUGCUCAGGAGAGUGAAGGCAGAGGUUGCAGCUGAACUCCCGAAGAAAGUGGAAGUAGUUCUCUAUCAUGGAAUGUCAGCACUGCAGAGGAAGUUUUAUAAGGCUCUCUUGAUGAAAGAUCUGGAUGCAUUUGAAAAUGAAACAGGGAAGAAAGUUAAGCUCCAAAAUAUCUUAAUUCAACUCCGGAAGUGCGUCGCUCACCCAUAUCUGUUCAGUGGAGUUGAACCGGAGCCCUUUGUCAUCGGAGAUCAUCUUAUUGAAGCCAGUGGGAAGUUGAGUUUAUUGGAUAAACUUCUCGCUUUCCUUCAUGUGGGGGGUCACCGUGUCUUGCUGUUUUCCCAGAUGACUCAAAUGCUGGAUAUUCUCCAGGACUAUAUGGAUUACAGAGGUUACAGCUAUGAGCGUCUGGAUGGGUCAGUCCGAGGUGAAGAGAGGCACCUUGCCAUUAAGAACUUUGGCCAGCAGCCCAUAUUUGUCUUUCUCCUGAGCACCAGGGCAGGUGGCGUGGGCAUGAAUCUAACUGCAGCAGACACAGUUGUCUUUGUUGACAGCGACUUCAACCCGCAAAAUGAUUUGCAAGCAACAGCAAGAGCCCACAGGAUUGGCCAGAAUAAACCUGUAAAAAUUAUUCGCUUGAUUGGGAGAGACACUGUAGAAGAAAUAAUCUACCGACGAGCAGCCUCCAAGUUGCAGCUGACUGACACCAUUAUUGAAGGGGGGCAGUUUUCACUUGGAGGGCAGAAAUCACAGGUGGCAGCAGAUAUUGAGCUGAGUGAAAUCCUGAAGUUUGGUUUGGACAAAUUGUUGUCAUUGGAAGGAAGCACCAUGUGUGAUGUGGACCUGGGAAGUAUCCUUGGUGAGACGAAAGAAGGAACAUGGUUAAUGGAUCCUGUGCUGCUGACCACAGAGGGAAAUGAGGAGCAAGAUUUAGAAAGCCACAUGUACCUAUAUGAAGGCAAAGACUACUCCAAGGAGCCUACCCGAGAAGACCAGAAGGCCUUUGAUCAGCUGUUAGAGCUUCAGAAAGUUAUCCUUGAUGAGAUCAGUCAAGAAGGAAGAGCUCUCCGAAAUAAAGCAACUGUUCUGGUCAUGGACAUUCCAGUGACAUCCAGUAAGAAAAGACGCAAAUUGAGCUCAGAAGAGCUAGAGGCUCGGCGGAGAAAAUUGGAGGAGGCAGCAACAAAGAGGGCCAGACUGAGGGAAGAAAAAAGACAGAAGAAGGCAGAAGCUGACCACCAGAAAAAGAUGGCAUGGUGGGAAGCUAAUCACUACAUGUCCUGUUGCCUUGAGUCAGAAGAGAGUAGUACAGAGGAGGAAGAGGAAGAGGGUAGGCUGGAUGUGGAUUUGGAAUAUGCAGACCCAGACCUGAGCUCUAUCAAAUAUGUUAUGGGUGAUGUUACCCAUCCCACAGCAGGAGAAGAAGAUGCCAUCAUUGUGCACUGUGUAGAUGACUCUGGCCAUUGGGGAAGAGGAGGCUUAUUUACUGCUCUGGCGUGCCGCUCUGACCAACCAAGGAAAAUAUAUGAGCUGGCAGGAAAGAUGAAAGACCUGACAUUGGGAGGAACUCUUUUAUUCCCCAUCGAUGACAAGGAAUCCAGAAACAAAGGACAGGACUUGCUGGCACUAAUCGUAGCACAGCACCGAGAUCGCUCCAACAACGUGUCUUCGAUUAAGCUCCCUGCUUUGGAAAAGGGAUUGAAGAAAAUUUAUCUGGCCGCCAAGAAAAGAAAUGGCAGCUUUCCUUCUCUGCUCCACCACCCCAGCAAGCAUCCACCUGCCUCGCAUUGGAUAUGCAACCAAAAGCUUUAAUUGGUAUGGAACAGAGCGUCUCAUCCGUAAAUACUUGGCAACAAGAGGAGUCCCCACAUCUGUAUACUACUUCCCUAGGAAUAAAGCUGCCCCUUCACAAGCAUCCACAUCAGUACCAACUGUACAACCCUAAAGACCCAGCCAUUGAGCAGAAAUGCAUAGGAGGAGAACCCUGGAACAGAAGCACAGACUUCACAUGUGUCCUAUGGAUCCUGUGUAACAAGUGUGCAGUUGUUGCAUUAAAAUAAGCAUAUGGCCAUUUA